CCUACGGGUGGCUGCAGUGAGGAAUAUUGGUCAAUGGACGAGAGUCUGAACCAGCCAAGUAGCGUGAAGGAUGACUGCCCUAUGGGUUGUAAACUUCUUUUAUAUGGGAAUAAAACGUUCCACGUGUGGGAUUUUGUAUGUACCAUAUGAAUAAGGAUCGGCUAACUCCGUGCCAGCAGCCGCGGUAAUACGGAGGAUCCGAGCGUUAUCCGGAUUUAUUGGGUUUAAAGGGAGCGUAGGUGGAGUGUUAAGUCAGUUGUGAAAGUUUGCGGCUCAACCGUAAAAUUGCAGUUGAAACUGGCAGUCUUGAGUACAGUAGAGGUAGGCGGAAUUCGUGGUGUAGCGGUGAAAUGCUUAGAUAUCACGAAGAACCCCGAUUGCGAAGGCAGUUCACUGGACUGCAACUGACGCUGAGGCUCGAAAGUGUGGGUAUCAAACAGGAUUAGAUACCCGAGUAGUC
rnacentral:rRNA from 1 species